UUUUUUUUUUUUUGUGCGUGGUGAAUUUUCAUAUCAAGUUUUCUUGGGAUAAAAUGUACACUUUUGGUAUUUUUUCUUCAAAAAUUGGAUUUAUAAGAAACAUGUAAAUUUCGAAGUGUUCUACAGUGUUUUGAUUAAAUUGCUGAUCCUCUAUCUCUCAUGUUUUAACUAUGGAAAGGAUCCACAAAUUGUAAUAUGUCGUUUGAAUACCAAAUAAAACAUUUGCAAAUUGU
rnacentral:sRNA from 1 species